AGGGGUAUAGCUCAGUUGGUAGAGCAGCGGAUUCCAAAUCCGCAGGCCUCGGGUUCGAAUCCUGAUGCCCCUG
rfam:Thalassobacter sp. 16PALIMAR09 PM04_016, whole genome shotgun sequence.